rnacentral:rRNA from 1 species
UACGUAGGGUGCAAGCGUUGUCCGGAAUUAUUGGGCGUAAAGAGCUCGUAGGCGGUUUGUCGCGUCUGCUGUGAAAACGCGAGGCUCAACCUCGCGCCUGCAGUGGGUACGGGCAGACUAGAGUGCGGUAGGGGAGAUUGGAAUUCCUGGUGUAGCGGUGGAAUGCACAGAUAUCAGGAGGAACACCGAUGGCGAAGGCAGAUCUCUGGGCCGUAACUGACGCUGAGGAGCGAAAGCGUUGGGGAGCGAACAGG